UAACAGGUGUUGCAUGGCUGUCGUCAGCUCGUGUCGUGAGAUAGUUGGGUUAAGUCCCGCAACGAGCGCAACCCUCAUCCUUAGUUACCAUCAGGUAAUGCUGGGGACUUUAAGGAAACUGCCAGUGAUAAACUGGAGGAAGGUGGGGAUGAUGUCAAGUCAUCAUGGCCCUUAUGGAGUGGGCUACACACGUGCUACAAUGGUGGCUACAAUGGGCUGCAAAGUCGCGAGGCUAAGCUAAUCCCUUAAAAGCCAUCUCAGUUCGGAUUGUACUCUGCAACUCGAGUGCAUGAAGUUGGAAUCGCUAGUAAUCGUGGAUCAGCACGCCACGGUGAAUACGUUCUCGGGUCUUGUACACACUGCCCGUCACGCCAUGGGAAUUGGUUUCACUCGAAGCU
rnacentral:rRNA from 1 species